rnacentral:antisense_RNA from 2 species
GGAUGGGGCUUGCUCCCGAUAGCGGUGGUUUAGUCAGUACAUCUUUGACUGACACACCGCUAUCGGGAGCAAGCCCCCUCC